rnacentral:rRNA from 1 species
GUCCACGCCCUAAACGAUGUACACUAGUUGUUGUGAGGCUCGACCUUGCAGUAAUGCAGUUAACACAUUAAGUGUACCGCCUGGGGAGUACGGUCGCAAGAUUAAAACUCAAAGGAAUAGACGGGGACCCCGCACAAGCGGUGGAGCAUGUGGUUUAAUUCGACGAUACACGAAGAACCUUACCUGGACUUGACAUAGUAAGAACUUUCUAGAGAUAGAUUGGUGUCUGCUUGCAGAAACUUAUAUACAGGUGCUGCACGGCUGUCGU